AGAGUUUGAUCCUGGCUCAGAGCGAACGCUGGCGGCGUGCUUAACACAUGCAAGUCGAGUGCGCAGUUCCUGUAGCAAUACAGGGGCGGGCGCACGGCGCACGGGUGAGUAACACGUGGGCAAUCUGCCCUCGGAUGGGGGAUAACCCCGCGAAAGCGGGGCUAAUACCGCAUGACAUUCCGGAGACCCCGGUCUCUGGAUUCAAAGCCGUAAGGCGUCUGAGGAGGAGCCCGCGCCCGAUUAGCUUGUUGGUGAGGUAACGGCUCACCAAGGCUUUGAUCGGUAGCCGGUCUGAGAGGAUGGCCGGCCACACUGGAACUGAGACACGGUCCAGACUCCUACGGGAGGCAGCAGUGGGGAAUCUUGCGCAAUGGGCGAAAGCCUGACGCAGCGACGCCGCGUGGGGGAUGAAGCUUCUCGGAGUGUAAACCCCUUUCGACCCGGACGAAUGGCCCGCAAGGGACGUGACGGUACGGGUAGAAGAAGCCCCGGCUAACUACGUGCCAGCAGCCGCGGUAAUACGUAGGGGGCCAGCGUUGCUCGGAAUUACUGGGCGUAAAGGGUUCGUAGGCGGUGCGGCAAGUUGGGAGUGAAAUCUCUGGGCUUAACCCAGAGGCUGCUUUCAAAACUGCCGUGCUCGAGUGCGGGAGAGGCGAGUGGAAUUGCAGGUGUAGCGGGUGAAAUGCGUAGAGAUCUGCAGGAACACCCGUGGCGAAGGCGGCUCGCUGGACCGCAACUGACGCUGAGGAACGAAAGCUAGGGGAGCAAACAGGAUUAGAUACCCUGGGUAGUCCUAGCCCUAAACCAUUCAGGACUUGGGUGCUUCCCGUAGUCGGUC
rnacentral:rRNA from 1 species